rnacentral:tRNA from 1 species
GGAGGAGUCACAUAGUGGACCAUUGUACGUACUUGGAAAGUACGCGAGCGAAAGCUCACGUGGGUUCGAAUCCCACCUCCUCCGCCA